rnacentral:rRNA from 1 species
GACAGAGGGUGCAAACGUUGUUCGGAAUUACUGGGCGUAAAGCGAGUGUAGGCGGUCUGCUAAGUCGGGUGUGAAAGCCCCGGGCUCAACUCGGGAAGUGCACUCGAAACUGGCAGGCUAGAGUAUCGGAGAGGUUGGUGGAAUUCUCGGUGUAGAGGUGAAAUUCGUAGAUAUCAGGAGGAACACCGGUGGCGAAGGCGGCUUCCUGGACCGAUACUGACGCUGAGACGCGAAAGCGUGGGGAGCAAACAGG